rnacentral:rRNA from 1 species
UACGGGGGGAGCAAGCGUUGUUCGGAUUUACUGGGCGUAAAGGGCGCGUAGGCGGCGCGACAAGUCACUUGUGAAAUCUCCGGGCUUAACCCGGAGCGGCCAAGUGAUACUGUAGUGCUAGAGUGCGGAAGGGGCUACUGGAAUUCUCGGUGUAGCGGUGAAAUGCGUAGAGAUCCGGAGGAACACCAGUGGCGAAGGCGACACGCUGGGCCGGUACUGACGCUGAGGCGCGAAAGCGUGGGGAGCAAACAGG